UUGUAAUUUGUUUUUCAACCCCAUAAUGCUCAUCUCAAUCUCAGCUCAGUCAUGUCCCUUGAUUAAUCUGCAAAGGAAAUAAACCUUUUGAUUAAAAAAAAACGUGUAAUCCAAUAACUCCUCUCCCCUUUGGAGCAUGUAUAAUGGUUCCAUUAUACACAAGGGCAUGUUUUUAUUAAAUAUCAACGCGUGGCUCUGUCGAGCAUCUGCCCAACCUUGACGGAAGAUUCUACCCGAGGAGUGGGCCUGUCAGUCGACAAGACUAUUGAUGAAUGUUGUUUUCCAAUUCAGUGAUGUUGACGCAUCAAUCGCAGGCCUCAAAAAGUUCCGCGUCCAAAACUUAUUCACGCUGUUCUUUGAAAUUUGAUGAAAAACGAAUGGUUGGGGAUGCUGACGCUGUCAAAGAAUGGAUGAUUUAAGAUCGGUCAGCUGCUUCGCAGCUGUGCGCCAUUAAAGAUUAGCUUGCGUCAACAUACAGUGCUUCCUCAGAGGUAAAAUUUGUGUACUUUUGAUUUUUUUUCCCCCCUUUACUAUCUGUCAAAAAUCCAAUGUUUGGUCAUGCUUAGCGCUGUUGCGGGUAUUUUCCAAACUUUCCUUAUCUUUAUUUAUUUUUUUUCUUUUCCAUUCCAGUUCAUUUGGUGGGGCUCAGCCAGGAACCAUUUAUUGACUUGCUUUUCAUGAACAAACAAAACAUUCACUUGCAGUUUUCUUGAGCCAGCUGUCAGCUUUGUGAACAUAUUUAUUUUGGUUUAAAUAUGUGUUCGGUGCCUGAUGUCCUGCAUUUGAGUCCAUCUGUUUGUGAUAUUUGACAAGAAUCAACACUGAGUGAAGAGGUAGACUGCUUCGUUAGCUUCCCAUGAUAGCUGCUGAGUGGCUAACUGCCAACUUUUUGGACAAAAUGUUUUGGUUUUAAUAUUGUGACACGUGUCCCGCAGUUGAAUUCAGCUUGUUGUGCUGCUAGACAAGAAGGAACACCGAAUACAGAUAUUGUAUACAAUGCUACCGUAGCUUCUUGCUGGUUGGUUAGCGACUGAGUGAGAAGCGAGAUCCUGAGUGCUGAGCUCUUACUUUUUAUGAACCAAGACUAUGAUUUGAAUAUUCUGUGUCCGGUGUUAUUUGAGUCUAUCCGUUUGUGAUUAAUGACAAUGAGGAGCACCGAGCAAAGACGAAGACGUUGGUUUCCUGCGCUAGCGGCUAACUGGAUACCUGUUGGCUGCCCAAUGUUUUAGGAACAUUUUGUUUUUAAAUUUUAAUAUUCUGUUUGGUGUCAUACAUUUGAGUGUAACUUUCGGUGGUGAUUGACAAAAAGGAAUGCUGACGCAAAAUGCAGACUGCUCCAUUCGCUUUCUCCACUGGGCUGUGAUGGCUAACUGCUCCCUGGCCAGCUGCCAACUUGCGAAUCAACGAAUUUGAUUUGGGGCUCUUGUGAAGGCUCGCCCGUCUGUGUUUGAGUCCAUAGGUUUGUGCCAAAUGAAGGCGUAGAAUGUUUCAUUAGCAAUUUGCGCUAGCUGCUGACUAGCAAGCUGCAGUAAGCUAGUCUUUUGUGAGGUCCAAAAGUUAUUUUUCAAAACCCUGCUGUAUUUCAAUUGUGGUGUUUUUUUUAAAAGUGUCCUCAAGCCUAUUGCCAUUCUUGGAUCGUUUUUGUAGCGCGGUUGUGCAAUCCUGAUUCGAGUAUUAGCCACCGAGACAAUCUCCACUAGACCUUGUCUAAGGAGAACAGCUGGGCAAAGGAAAUGAGGUCUGGAGACAGGCCUGAAAUGUAAUGUUUUGAUACAUCACAUAUUUUCACUUCCAAGGGGCUUAGAGGGAGCAUUCCCAUCACAGUGAGUUACAACAGAAAUCCGUCACAUAAAGCACUGCAAUCAUUCAAUGUACGUUUUUGAUGUCAAUGAUCUUUACCAAGCAACUUGUCUCAUUUUUAUAUACGUUCUCAAAACUAAUCACCAUUAAAAAAAAUCUGCCAUGUUGUAUGUCAUCCAUGUUUAAAGAAUUUUUUGCUUCCAGGAAUUCAGUUUGGAUCAUCCUGAAAGCAUUAAGUGUCCAGGAAUGUACUGUACCUUGUUUUGAAAUAUCCCUGUUUAUUCCAUGUCUACUGUGCGAUGACAACCAGACCGUUUAUCAUGACGUCUUCUCGCAUGAAACACUCUCCAGAGUUUUGGCGUGUAGUACUGUGCCAAAUAGGCAUAUUUUCCAAAUAAGGCAACUACGGCUGCUUGGUAAAUGUCCUUGAAUCAACAAUGAAUUAACGAACUACAGUAUUUUUUUUUGUAAGGCUCCUGUACUGUUACGGGUCAAAUUGACUAACCCCCCCUUGGGGGUGAUACAUGGAUCAAAAUAUGUGAAAGCGGUAAGAGCUCAAAGUACACAGUCAAAUAUUCAAUGGAACCUAAAACAAAAGAUGACAAUCCGUGCCGUUUUGUACAAACGAAAUGGAGCUAUGGAAUGCUGCUAGAGAAGCCCAUUUUUCUCAUAGCAAACAUCACAGAGAGAAAGAAUGCUAAAGUCAGAGCCCUGGUGUGAUUAAACAUUUGCCCGUAUCCUAGAGCUUGAUCUCCAGAGGAAUGCAUUGUGUAUAAGGACUUGGCGCGGCCUGAAUAGCAGCUUUAUUAAGUGGCCCGAGGGGUGCAAGGUGCAGGGAUGCAACCUUGAACACAAUGACUUUGGCAUUGCGGAUAACCUAAUGGUGUCUUCUCAUCUGCGUUAACUAUUCUGCGACUCCUUCGACUCAGCGUCCUGAAUUUGGCUCAUCAUGCUGCUGCAUUUGGGGUUGAAUCUUUCGUUGUUUCUUUUCAUAAGAACACAAAAACAGCAAAUAGCAAUUUGUCACACGUUGGCGCUACCUCUGGCUAAUGACCGAACAAGAACAAUUCAAGGUAAUGUUUCCCAAGUGCGCUGUACAAAAAAAAAAAAAACACAUUUUCUCG